CAUAACAAUAACAAAUGUACAGUAUAAACGGUAAGAACUGAAAAUGUCCAAGUAAAAUCCUGAAGAACGAGGAAAUUCUGGUUGUCAAUCAUAGAAGAAACAGACACCAUUCAUGCCGAGAAGUCCACCAGUUGUAGUCGAUGUGUCGAGUUAAGCUGAAAGAGAAUGUAAGAGGUUUUAAUCAUCUUAGUACAAAUGACCAUUACACUAACUAGUUAAUAAGUAU